GAUGAACGCUGGCGGCGUGCUUAACACACGCAAGUCGAACGAAGCAUUUGCGACAGAUUUUUUCGGAAUGAAGUUGCUUAUGACUGAGUGGCGGACGGGUGAGUAACGCGUGGGUAACCUGCCUUGUACUGGGGGAUAGCAGCUGGAAACGGCUGGUAAUACCGCAUAAGCGCACAAUGUUGCAUGACAUGGUGUGAAAAACUCCGGUGGUAUAAGAUGGACCCGCGUCUGAUUAGCUAGUUGGUGAGAUAACAGCCCACCAAGGCGACGAUCAGUAGCCGACCUGAGAGGGUGACCGGCCACAUUGGGACUGAGACACGGCCCAGACUCCUACGGGAGGCAGCAGUGGGGAAUAUUGCACAAUGGAGGAAACUCUGAUGCAGCGACGCCGCGUGAGUGAAGAAGUAAUUCGUUAUGUAAAGCUCUAUCAGCAGGGAAGAUAGUGACGGUACCUGACUAAGAAGCUCCGGCUAAAUACGUG
rnacentral:rRNA from 1 species